rnacentral:rRNA from 1 species
AGCUCCAAUAGCGUAUAUUAAAAUUGUUGCAGUUAAAAAGCUCGUAGUUGGAUUUCUGGCUUGGUGCGCGCUGUCCGCCGAGGUUUCUCGGUGUGUACAGAAGUGCGCCUGCCAUCCUUCUGGAAAAUGACCCUACCCUUCACUGGGCCGGGGUCACUUCUGGAUCUUUUACUUUGAAAAAAUUAGAGUGUUCAAAGCAGGCUUGCGCUAUGAAUACAUUAGCAUGGAAUAAUAAUUUAGGACUUCUGUUCUAUUUUGUUGGUUUCUAGGAUGGAAGUAAUGAUUGAUAGGGAUAGUUGGGGGUGCUAGUAUUCCGCGGCCAGAGGUGAAAUUCUUGGAUUCGCGGAAGACUAACUUAUGCGAAAGCAUUCACCAAGGAUGUCUUCU